CGGGCGCACGGCGGAUGCCUUGGCACAGGGAGCCGAUGAAGGACGCGGCAAGCUGCGAUAAUCCCCGGCGAGGAGCACACAUCCUUCGACCCGGGGGUCUCCGAAUGGGCGAACCCAUCCACAGCAGUGUGGAUAUCCCCACCCCGAACACAUAGGGGCGGGGAGGACAACCCGGGGAACUGAAACAUCUAAGUACCCGGAGGAGAGGAAAUCAAUCUCGAGACUCCCCGAGUAGCGGCGAGCGAAAGGGGACCGAUGGCCAAACCGUCGAGCGGGCAUACCCGGCAGGGGUUCCGCCGGCGGGGUUGCAGGGCCGCGCAUCCGGGGGCUGCCGCCCCCGGGCGCAGGUCCGGCUGGGGAGCGGAACGGCAUGGGAGGGCCGGCCGCAGCGGGUGACAGCCCCGUACGCGAACCCAGACCGGACGGCGCGACGCGGUCCCUGAGUAGGGCCGGGCACGUGAAACCCGGUCCGAACCUGGGUGGACCACCAUCCAAGCCUGAGUACUACCCUGUGACCGAUAGCGCACCAGUACCGUGAGGGAAAGGUGAAAAGCACCCCGGGAGGGGAGUGAAACAGUACCUGAAACCGUGCGCCCACGAGCAGUCGGAGCACCCUUGUGGUGUGACGGCGUGCCUUUUGUAGAAUGAGCCAGCGAGUCGCUGGCGCGGGGCGAGGUUAACCGAAAGGGAGCCGGAGCGAAAGCGAGCCUUAACAGGGCGACUUGAGUCCCGCGCCGCGGACGCGAAGCCGGGUGAGCUAUCCGUGGGCAGGCUGAAGCGGGGGUAAGACCCCGUGGAGGGCCGAACGCACGUCGGUUGAAAACGGCGGCGAUGACCUGCGGAUAGGGGUGAAAGGCCAAUCAAACCCGGAGAUAUCUCGUUCUCCCCGAAAUAGCUUUAGGGCUAGCGUCGAGAGAAGAGUUGCGUGAAGGUAGAGCACUGAAUAUGUGAUGGCCCCAUCUCGGGGUACUGAGCAUAAUCAAACUGCGAAUGUCACGCCAACAUGCUCGGCAGUCAGACAGCGGGUGAUAAGGUCCGUUGUCAAGAGGGAAACAGCCCAGACCAUCAGCUAAGGUCCCAAAAUGUAUGCUAAGUGGAAAAGGAUGUGGAGAUGUACAGACAACUAGGAGGUUGGCUCAGAAGCAGCCAUCCUUUAAAGAGUGCGUAACAGCUCACUAGUCGAAUGACUCUGCGCCGAUAAUUUACCGGGGCUAAGCAUACUACCGAAGCUAUGGAUCCCAAGGGAUGGUAGGGGAGCGUUCCAUGAACGGAGAAGUACGACCGAAAGGACGUGUGGAGAUCAUGGAAGAGAGAAUGCCGGUGUGAGUAGCGGAACGUGGGUGAGAAUCCCACGCACCGAAAACCCAAGGUUUCCAGAGGAAGGUUCGUCCGCUCUGGGUAAGUCGGGACCUAAGGCGAGGCCGAAAGGCGUAGUCGAUGGACAACAGGUAGAGAUUCCUGUACCCGUAUAUAUGUGAAGGAAUGACGGAGAGAGGAAGCUGCAGCCAGCGGCUGGAAGAGCUGGUGCAAGCGAGAUAUCGGGAUGGCAGGCAAAUCCACCAUCCGAAACGAGAAGGCGUGAAGCGUACGGAAAGCUACGGCGAGUACGGAAGGCAGUGGAGGAACUUCCAAGAAAAGUUUCUAACGUUAAGUAUAUAUGGCCCGUACCGAAAAUGGACACACAUGGGUGAGGAGAGAAUCCUAAGGUGAGCGAGAGAACUAUAGCUAAGGAACUCUGCAAAAUGACUCCGUAACUUAGGGAGAAGGAGUGCUCAUAGAGAUAUGAGCCGCAGUGAAACGGCCCAAGCGACUGUUUACCAAAAACACAGCUCUCUGCUAAGCCGCAAGGCGAAGUAUAGGGGGUGACGCCUGCCCGGUGCUGGAAGGUUAAGGGGAGGGGUUAACGCAAGUGAAGCCCUGAACUGAAGCCCCAGUAAACGGCGGCCGUAACUAUAACGGUCCUAAGGUAGCGAAAUUCCUUGUCAGGUAAGUUCUGACCCGCACGAAAGGCGUAACGAUUUGGGCGCUGUCUCAGCUGUAGACUCGGUGAAGUCUUAGUACCUGUGAAGAUGCAGGUUACCCGCGACUAGACGGAAAGACCCCAUGGAGCUUCACUGCAGGUUGAUAUUGGGAUUUGAUGCAGCAUGUACAGGAUAGGUAGGAGGCAAAGAGAUGGAUACGCCAGUAUUCAAGGAGCCGCUGUUGGGAUACUACCCCUGUUGUAUUGGAUUUCUAACCGGACGACGUAGAGCCGUUGACGGGACAGUGUCAGUCGGGCAGUUUGACUGGGGCGGUCGCCUCCCAAAGAGUAACGGAGGCGCCCAAAGAUACCCUCAGCUUGGAUGGAAACCAAGCGCAGAGUGCAAAGGCAAAAGGGUGUUUGACUGCGAGACCCACAAGUCGAGCAGGGACGAAAGUCGGGCUUAGUGAUCCGGCGGUGCUGAAUGGAAAGGCCGUCGCUCAACGGAUAAAAGCUACCCUGGGGAUAACAGGCUGAUCUCCCCCAA
rnacentral:rRNA from 1 species